UAAUCACAUACUGAUCAUGAUGAUCAUAAAAGCAAUUUUAAUUGUAAUGUCAGGAUUGAAUGUUAAAUAAGCAAGGGUUGGUGAUAAACAGCAGUAAAUUGUUAUGAAAUAGUCCACGUGUUCACUCCAAUUGACUUAAGAUCGACUUGACGAUCUACUCUCGUCAGCAACACGCGCGCUACUGAGAAUGAAGAUGAGUUAAAGAGUAGCCGAAGGUAUUCGACGAGUUUCGUGAGUCAUCGGGGUUAAAAAAAAAUGAACAAGUUAAAAAAUAAAAGUGAUUGGUUCAGCCUCAAAUGCCUCUGUGGAAAUUUGAUCAAUCUUAUUAAAAUACUUCUAAGAAGUUUGUUUGUGUCUGAUUGAGUUAUUUUGAUAAAUUAUCAUAAAGAGAAUGUACAAAGAAGAUAUUAAAAACAGUGAGACUAAAAAACAUAAAGACAAGGACAUAACUGAAUUGAAAAAGAAGAAUCAGAGAAGAGACAAGGACAACAUUAAACAGGAAGUCCUUCUUCUUUUUUUGGUUGUGGUGCAGAACCACCAGUUUGCUCAAUACCUAGAGCUUUCAUAUUGGCAGCUUGUUUCUCGGCGGCUUUAGAGAAGCCACCAGGAUCGGAUAACAUCGCCAUGAAGUCUGGAAAAAAAGGAAUAAUUAUCGAAAACGAUCUUAUCCUUAUAGAUUGACAUUUGAAAAUGCUUGAUAAUCGUAUGUUUCCAAAUAAGGUUACCUCCAAAGCCAUCUGGUACAUAAAUUGAUAUUUCUAUGUUACAAAAUAACAUCGGAAGAGCCAUCGGAAAGUUAGCUUCGGUCU